rnacentral:rRNA from 1 species
AGAGUUUGAUCCUGGCUCAGGAUGAACGCUAGCGGCAGCCCUAACACAUGCAAGUCGAACGGUAACAGGGAUUGCUUGCAAUCCGCUGACGAGUGGCGCACGGGUGCGUAACGCGUAUGCAAUCUGCCUAUAACUGAGAGAUAGCCCAGAGAAAUUUGGAUUAAUACCUCAUAAUAUUGUUUUUUGGCAUCACUAAACAAUUAAAACUUCGGUGGUUAUAGAUGAGCAUGCGUCCUAUUAGCUUGUUGGUAAGGUAACGGCUUACCAAGGCAACGAUAGUUAGGGGGCCUGAAAGGGUGAUCCCCCACACUGGUACUGAGACACGGACCAGACUCCUACGGGAGGCAGCAGUGAGGAAUAUUGCGCAAUGGAGGAAACUCUGACGCAGCCAUGCCGCGUGCAGGAAGACGGCCCUACGGGUUGUAAACUGCUUUUAUAUAGGAAGAAACCCCGAUACGUGUAUCGGCUUGACGGUACUAUAUGAAUAAGGACCGGCUAACUCCGUGCCAGCAGCCGCGGUAAUACGGAGGGUCCAAGCGUUAUCCGGAUUUACUAGGUUUAAAGGGUCCGCAGGCGGGAUAUUAAGUCAGUGGUGAAAGCCUACAGCUCAACUGUAGAACUGCCAUUGAUACUGAUAUUCUUGAGUGUGGUUGAAGUAGGCGGAACAUGUCAUGUAGCGGUGAAAUGCAUAGAUAUGACAUAGAACACCAAUUGCGAAGGCAGCUUACUAAGCCAUUACUGACGCUGAGGGACGAAAGCGUGGGGAGCGAACAGGAUUAGAUACCCUGGUAGUCCAUGCCGUAAACGAUGAUCACUCGUUGCUAGCGAUACACUGUUAGUGACCAAGCGAAAGUGUUAAGUGAUCCACCUGGGAAGUACGUUCGCAAGAAUGAAACUCAAAGGAAUUGACGGGGGCCCGCACAAGCGGUGGAGCAUGUGGUUUAAUUCGAUGAUACGCGAGGAACCUUACCAGGGCUUAAAUGCAGAAUGACAGAUUGGGAAACCAGUCCUUCUUCGGACAUUUUGCAAGAUGCUGCAUGGUUGUCGUCAGCUCGUGCCGUGAGGUGUCAGGUUAAGUCCUAUAACGAGCGCAGCCCCUAUCAUUAGUUGCCAGCGGGUAAUGCCGGGAACUCUAAUGAGACUGCCAGCGCAAGCUGCGAGGAAGGUGGGGAUGACGUCAAAUCAUCACGGCCCUUACGUCCUGGGCUACACACGUGCUACAAUGGUUGGGACAAUGGGCAGCCACUACGCGAGUAGGAGCUAAUCCUCAAACCCAAUCUCAGUUCGGAUCGGAGUCUGCAACUCGACUCCGUGAAGCUGGAAUCGCUAGUAAUCAGAUAUCAGCAAUGAUCUGGUGAAUACGUUCCCGGGCCUUGUACACACCGCCCGUCAAGCCAUGGAAGCUGGGAGUGCCUGAAGUCGGUAACCGUAAGGA